AUGCCCAUCUCCUGGACGAUGGCGUUGGCGAUGUCUUGCGUGGAGGCCCUGAGGUCGCGGUCGAGCCAAGUAACGACGGCGUUCGAGCCGAGGAGCGCCGCCUCCUGGUGCAUGGCCGGCGUGGCGUGGAUCACCGUAAACACCUCGGCCGGCCUCUGCGAGUGGUCGUCGAACCAAGCCAUGGCGCGGGGGAGGGCUUGGGGACAAGGCGGAGCCGCUAGAGGUGCCAGCACAGGCGUCGCACACACGAGGAAGGGGCGACUGGGGCACGCGACAGAGGCGCCCGGGCGGAGCUGUGGAGCAGGCUUGUUGAAGCAGUGCUUUGCUUUGUGCCCGGGUUGGAAGCAACUGCGAUGGGUGAUUGGGUUGCGGCAGUCGGCUUGCCGAUGGCGAGGAAAGAGGCAGCGGAAGCAGAGCCCUUUAAUCCAGUCCGGGACAGGUUGGCGCGGCUUCAAUGGAGCAGCAGGAAAAGCUGGCCGGCGCGGACGACGGGAUGCGACGGUGACCCAGCCGUCCAUCGCCUCGAGCCCCGCGGUUGCCUCCCGCGAUGAAUGCGCACCCAGGGCGCGAGCGCCAUUGCCGCGGACGCGGUCAGCCCAGCUGUCGAAGUUAAUGCGCCUCUCCUGCCCAGCCGCGACAACAUUGAAGGCGAGCGCGUGGCCAGAAGCAGCCUGGCGAGGCGCGGUGAGGAGCGGCUCAGGGGGAUCUCAGGCACACAGGAGAUGUCCCGCGGGUCACGCGCCGGCCCGCCCGGCGGCGGAGGUGGCGUGGCAAACGCCUGAUCCAGAUCCGGAUCCGUUGGAGAACAGCAUGUUCCCCACAGGCGCACGAGACGGGAAAGCCCAAAGCAAAGAGGGCGCGGCGAGGCCAACAAGGUGGCGCCGGGGAGAGCUAGGGUGGGUGGCCAGAGGUGCCGGAGUGGCGACCGCCGGGAAGGGCCGGUGGACUACUGGGACGGGGCUGGGGCUGCCGCACGAGCGGCGGCAUGGACGGGUCAUCUCGUGUUGCUAUUACAAAAUAUCAUUCUGA
rnacentral:rRNA from 1 species